UGUUGACUUGUUUGGCCACACUGGAAGGGUGAUGCAUGGGAGCACCCUGGUAAGCCCCACGCUGCGCCGCUACGCACGGCACACAUCGACUGUGGCUCAGCGCUGUGACCAGAUGCGCUCGGUAGGACAGCACCUCUCCAGGCCAAGGGCUAGUUCUGGAAAAGAGGUGCAUGAGGCGUCCAACUGAGCCCCAGUUAUGGAAUUGGAAACCACCAUUUCCGUAGGCGUACAGGUACAUAUAUGAAGCCAGCCACGAUCCGAAGCCGAGCAGGAGCAAAACAACGUGUAAAGACACCAUGGAUAAUCACAAGGAUCGCCGACUUGUCGCGACAGUCCACCUACAAUUUCAGCAUCUGUAACCACGACGAGAUACGCGAGGAUCUCCUAAACGUUUUGGAUCCACACAUGACCUUAAACGAGGUUGGUGGUUUCUCUGGUGGCAUCAGCGGGAAUCUGUCGGGACAGCACUGCCUCCACGAUUUUAAACUUGACUGCUGGCAGCCACUUUCUGAAAAUCUCGAUUAGCAAGCCGGGAGCUGGCUAGUUUAGUAAACUGGUGCAUGUGACCAGGACGGGGAAAUUAUCUCCUACUGUCCUCCGGCGACCUUCCUAAAAUGUGAGCUGAAGCCGCAAGUUGCAGGGACGGAGCGCAGGGGCCGGCGGAGGCUCCCGUCCGA
rnacentral:lncRNA from 1 species